rnacentral:lncRNA from 1 species
GAGAUAAUCACACUUUUAUAAGAUUUAGAAAUAAUUCUCAUAAAUAACUUGUCUGGGGUCUGGGGUGUAGCCCAGUGGUAGAAUGUCUGGCUGGCAUGCUUGAGGCCCUGGGUUCCAUCCCCAGUAUCACAAAUAACAAAAAGCAGACUAGUAUAGUUCUUAUCAAGUCAUUGGUCCUGGAAAUAGGUCUGCUGUCCUGUCCUUGUAGUCAGUUUCCUACUAGUCUCAGACCAUCUGGGGACACUAUGUUCCCAUCUCCCGCAUCCCCCAAUGCAUCUAUUCUGGUUUUUAUCAUUGCAUACAUUGCAGGUACUCUGCACCUUCUCUAUGUCUAGCUGAACUGUUAGAAGAUUCUAAUAGAAAAGAUAAAAGUAGGCCAUGAGUGCUCAUCACACGUAACAUUAGCUGACUAAUAGACAAAUCAUUGUAGCAUUAUAAUAUAUUUUUAUCUGGAAUAGUUUAUUUAUCUUUGAUACUUUCUCUUUCAAAAGUUUUGUGACUACUGGCUCGUGUUAUUUUUUUAAGAUGGAAUUCUGAAUUUUUUCAAGUUCUAAAAAACAUUCUUUUCAUUUAUUAGGAAUCAAACAUAAUUCAUGGAUUAUGGAAUCUUUAAUCCAUAAUUCAUGGAUUAUGGAUUAGGAAUCUUUCUAUCCAAGAACCAUAACUCCAUGCAAGUUCUUUCGUUGUUAUUUCUUUUUCUCAUGCAAGGUGUUGAACAUCUUAGGUCUUUGAACCAGCAGUUUCCUCCACUUAAAAUCUACUGCAUCCAGACUCCAUAGAGCUACAUUCCUCAGCUCCUUCAAGUAUUCUCAAGAGUCUUAUCCUUGCCCCUGCGAUUUGUUAUGGUUAUUAUGUAUAAACAUCUCUCCCUACUAAAACAUACAUUCUGUAAGAACAAAGGUUCUUACUUGGCACACAGCAAUCCCUUCCUUCAAUAUUUGAAGUUUUCUUUUAAUGAUAGGAAUACUAGUAGAGGAGAUUGCUAUCCAGGCUGCUCUGGGACAUGAAACCAAGAAAGCAGGUAGGCAGCUUCUCAGUAAGGUGGCUGGAAAAAAAAUAGGAGUUU